rnacentral:rRNA from 1 species
UACCAGACUCCUACGGGAGGCAGCAGUGAGGAAUAUUGGUCAAUGGGCGCGAGCCUGAACCAGCCAAGUAGCGUGAAGGAUGACUGCCCUACGGGUUGUAAACUUCUUUUAUAAAGGAAUAAAGUGAGGCACGUGUGCCUUUUUGUAUGUGUUUUAUGAAUAAGGAUCGGCUAACUCCGUGCCAGCAGCCGCGGUAAUACGGAGGAUCCGAGCGUUAUCCGGAUUUAUUGGGUUUAAAGGGUGCGUAGGCGGAACAUUAAGUCAGCGGUAAAAUCGAGGGGCUCAACCCCUUUAAGCCGUUGAAACUGGUGAUCUUGAGUGGGCGAGAAGUAUGCGGAAUGCGUGGUGUAGCGGUGAAAUGCAUAGAUAUCACGCAGAACUCUGAUUGCGAAGGCAGCAUACCGGCGCCCGACUGACGCUGAGGCACGAAAGCGUGGGGAUCGAACAGGAUUAGAUACCCGUGUAUCC